CCGCACUGUUGCGGUGGAGACUGGGAAGUUAAGUUAGCUCCAAACUACUCGAGUUGAUGACAGCUACGCUCGUUACUUGGUUUCUAGCCAGGCUGUGGGCUUGCAGUGUACAAUAAACAAACAUGGCUACCCUCACAUCCUGUUUCACACACUCCAUUUCCUGCUGCUGCCUACGGGGGAAAUGUGCUCUCUUCAGCGUCUGGCGUUGGAAGAAAAUGUAAAUUCUAUACAUUUUCCCUGAAAGAACAGCACACUGUUCAUGGUUUUCAAGUGCCAUUUUCCCUGCAAAGUGUGUGGGCAGACAUGAUACCCAAAAGGUGAAACAGCAGCAGUUCCUGUAAAGGCACGUGUAGAUCAGGAAAGAAAAACUGAAUUGGCCAAUCAGCCCAACCCGAAAGGGAUACUUACUACUACUUUUUUUCUUCUGAAAUUUUGUAGGUACUGUUAUGUAAAGCUAAACAUGUUCACAAUGUAUUAGUGUGUUAGGAUCAGUAAAUCUAAUUUUGUUUACUAGACACUGAAAAGUUUGAAAGAUCGAUACUUUUCUGUGUGGCUUUGAUAAUGUGUUUUCUUGCUGUACACUUCAUCCCAAGAGAAAUAAAGUGCUUUUAGUACUCAUGGGAAGAGGACACCCCAUGCACGUAAGAUA